GACGAACGCUGGCGGCGUGCUUAACACAUGCAAGUCGAACGGAAAGGCCCUGCUUUUGUGGGGUGCUCGAGUGGCGAACGGGUGAGUAACACGUGAGUAACCUGCCCUUGACUUUGGGAUAACUUCAGGAAACUGGGGCUAAUACCGGAUAGGAGCUCCUGCUGCAUGGGGUGGGUUGGAAAGAUUCGGCGGUUGGGGAUGGACUCGCGGCUUAUCAGCUUGUUGGUGGGGUAGUGGCUUACCAAGGCUUUGACGGGUAGCCGGCCUGAGAGGGUGACCGGCCACAUUGGGACUGAGAUACGGACCAGACUCCUACGGGAGGCAGCAGUGGGGAAUAUUGCACAAUGGGCGGAAGCCUGAUGCAGCAACGCCGCGUGCGGGAUGACGGCCUUCGGGUUGUAAACCGCUUUCGCCUGUGACGAAGCGUGAGUGACGGUAAUGGGUAAAGAAGCACCGGCUAACUACGUG
rnacentral:rRNA from 1 species